rnacentral:rRNA from 1 species
CCCGCUCAGAAACUUAAAGGAAUUGACGGGGCCCGCACAAGCGGCGGAGCAUGCGGAUUAAUUCGAUGCAACGCGAAGAACCUUACCAAGGCUUGACAUACACUGCGAUGUUCCAGAGAUGGGGCAGCCUUCGGGGUGGUGUACAGGUGGUGCAUGGUUGUCGUCAGCUCGUGUCGUGAGAUGUUGGGUUAAGUCCCGCAACGAGCGCAACCCUUGUCUCGUGUUGCCAGCACAUGAUGGUGGGGACUCACGAGAGACUGCCGGGGUUAACUCGGAGGAAGGUGGGGAUGACGUCAAAUCAUCAUGCCCCUUAUGUCUUGGGCUUCACGCAUGCUACAAUGGCCGGUACAGAGGGUUGCGAUGUCGUAAGGCUGAGCGAAUCCCUUAAAGCCGGUCUCAGUUCGGAUUGGGGUCUGCAACUCGACCCCAUGAAGUCGGAGUCGCUAGUAAUCGCAGAUCAGCAACGCUGCGGUGAAUACGUUCCCGGGCCUU